CCUACGGGGGGCUGCAGUGGGGAAUAUUGCACAAUGGGGGAAACCCUGAUGCAGCAACGCCGCGUGAGCGAUGAAGGCCUUCGGGUCGUAAAGCUCUGUCCUAAGGGAAGAAUACUGACGGUACCUUAGGAGGAAGCCCCGGUUAACUACGUGCCAGCAGACGCGGUAAUACGUAGGGGGCUAGCGUUAUCCGGAAUUACUGGGCGUAAAGGGUGCGUAGGCGGCCCUUCAAGUCAGAGGUGAAAGGCUACGGCUAAACCGUAGUAAGCCUUUGAAACUGUAGGGCUUGUGUGCAGGAGAGGAGCGUGGAAUUCCCAGUGUUGUGGUGAAAUGCGUUGAUAUUGGCAAGAACACCAGCUGCGAAGGGGGAUCUUUGGACUGUCACUGACGCUGAGGAACGAAAGCGUGGGGAGCGAACAGGAUUAGAUACCCGGGUAGUC
rnacentral:rRNA from 1 species